rnacentral:tRNA from 1 species
GCCUUCGUGGUGUAAUGGUCAACACACUCGGCGCAUAUUCGAGAAGUCCGAGUUCGAGUCCCAGAGAGGGCA